AGCGAACGCUGGCGGCAGGCUUAACACAUGCAAGUCGAGCGGGCGUAGCAAUACGUCAGCGGCAGACGGGUGAGUAACGCGUGGGAACGUGCCCUUUGGUUCGGAACAACACAGGGAGACUUGUGCUAAUACCGGAUAAGCCCUUACGGGGAAAGAUUUAUCGCCGAAGGAUCGGCCCGCGUCUGAUUAGCUUGUUGGUGAGGUAACGGCUCACCAAGGCUACGAUCAGUAGCUGGUCUGAGAGGAUGAUCAGCCACACUGGGACUGAGACACGGCCCAGACUCCUACGGGAGGCAGCAGUGGGGAAUAUUGGACAAUGGGGGCAACCCUGAUCCAGCCAUCCCGCGUGAGUGAUGAAGGCCCUAGGGUUGUAAAGCUCUUUCGGCGGGGAAGUUAAUGACGGUACCCGCAUAAGAAGCCCCGGCUAACUUCGUGCCAGCAGCCGCAGUAA
rnacentral:rRNA from 1 species